UUUUUGGCUAUACUCGGGUACAGCCAAAGCUGGCUGUACCCCAUCCAAAACGAUGUCGUUUUGUGUUGUUUAAAAUGAACAUUAAUAUACUGGUACAAAAAUGAACAUUUACUAUUUCGGAAAUGAACAUUUAUUUAUUUAUUUGGAAUGAACAUUUACUAUUUUAGAAAUGAACAUUUAUUUAUUUAUUUGGAAAUAAACUACAAAAAUGAACAUUUACUAUUUCGGAAAUGAAUAUUUAUUUAUUUAUUUGGAAUAAACAUUUACUAUUUUGGAAAUGAACAUUUAUUUAUUUAUUUGGAAAUAAACAAUAUAGGCGCUUGUAAAAACAUAAGAGAUCAAUGAAGUGAACAAUUUCAUUAUGAACAUUAACCAUAUAUUUAUUGUGAACAAACAAAUAAACAAGAAAGAACAAAUAAUUCAACAAAAAAGAACAAACAAUAUAAAAAAGAACAUAAAAUUCCAGAAAAAAGAACAAACAAUACAACAAUUAUGAACAAUUUUAUGAUGAAUUUUAAAGCCAACAUGAAAGAACAAACAAUACAACAAGAAAGAACAAAUACUGGUACAAAAAUGAACAUUUACUAUUUCGGAAAUGAACAUUUAUUUAUUUAUUUGGAAUGAACAUUUACUAUUUUGAAAAUGAACAUUUAUUUAUUUAUUUGGAAAUAAACAAUAUAGGCGCUUGUAAAAACAUAAAAGACCAAUGAAGUGAACAAUUUCAUUAUGAACAUUAACCAUAUAUUUAUUGUGAACAAACAAAUAAACAAGAAAAAACAAAUAAUUCAACAAAAAAGAACAAACAAUAUAAAAAAGAACAUAAAAUUCCAGAAAAAAGAACAAACAAUACAACAAUUAUGAACAAUUUUAUGAUGAAUUUUAAAGCCAACAUGAAAGAACAAACAAUACAACAAGAAAUAACAAACAAUAAAGCAGAUAAUUAUUAUGAACAAACCAAUAAACAAAAAAAUAAUUCAACAAAAAAGAACAAACAAUAUAAAAAAGAACAUAAAAUCCCAGAAAAAAGAACAAACAAUACAACAAUUAUGAACAAUUUUAUGAUGAAUUUUAAAGCCAACAUGAAAGAACAAACAAUACAACAAUAAGUUUGAUGAAUGAAUUUAAAAAACAACAAGAAAGAACAAACAGUACAACAAGAAAGAACAAACAAUACAAAAAGAAAGAAUAAAGAUUAAUGAAGAGUUUAAUUAUGAACAUUAACCAUAUGAUUAUUAUCAACAAACAAAUAAACAAGUAAACAAGAAAGAACAAACAAUAUAAAAAAGAACAUAAAAUUCCAGAAGAAAGAACAAAAAAUACAACAAUUAUGAAAAUUUGAUGAUGAAUUUAAAAAACAACAUGAAAGAACAAACAGUACAACAUGAAAGAACAAACAGUACAACAAGAAAGAACAAACAAUACAAUAAGAAUGAACAAACAGUACAAUAAAAAAGAACAAACAGUCGACAAGAAUGAACAAACAAUAUAAGCGCGUUGUUUUGGGUACAGCCAGAGCUGGCUGUACCCGGGUACAGCAGUUAGCUAUAUACCAAAACUUGGGAGUUAAAUGAGAAAGACCCACUAAAUUCCUAAAUAUUCGGAGAGCCCACUACCUAAACACAUAUACGUGGGUUAAUAGAGGAUGAAGUUUUCAACCAGCAAAAAUCUCUUCGCCUUCCUUCUCGGCAACAGAAAUCCCACCGCACUAAUCUUCUACUUCCGAUAUCUCCGGUAAAAAAUUAGGGUUUAUCAUAUAUAAAUUUGCAUCUCAACCCCUCAAACACACACAGAGAAGCAGACAACACAAAGGAGAUCGAACCAUAAAUUUGUGAGUUGAGGGGUUGCAAUUGGGUUUUGAAUUGGGUAAUUAAGGAGAGAAGACAGCCAUUAGAAGAAAGCUUAGUCUCGAAUCUAAGGUCGAACAAGAGCAACAACGAGUCGCGGGGUCGAAGCCAAGUUCGUUCGGGUGUUCUUGAGCACAAAUUCAUGAGUGCAUGAGUGGUGGCACACCUAAUUCUAAACUCAAGCGAAUCAGGAAGUAUAUAGAUCAAGAGAGAUUAAUCUACGCGUUUCAAAUAGAUCAACCAGAAGAAGAGAAACCAGAGGAAGUUAAACCAACAGAAGAUAGUCUAGAAGCAGCAAAAAUGGGUGAAAGAACCUUGAAGGAGAUCGAACCAUAAAUUUGUGAGUUGAGGGGUUGCAAUUGGGUUUUGAAUUGGGUAAUUAAGGAGAGAAGACAACCAUUAGAAGAAAGCUUAGUCUCGAAUCUAAGGUCGAACAAGAGCAACAACGAGUCGCGGGGUCGAAGCCAAGUUCGUUCGGGUGUUCUUGAGCACAAAUUCAUGAGUUCUUUUCUUACUCAAUUACUCCAAUUUCAUACUUUUUUGUAUACUUGCUUAUUUAUUAGAUUGCUUUGGUUGAGUUUUCAGUAUGAAAUAUUGAUUGGGAUUUUAUAAUCUGUUUGAGUUUUAUUCGAUUUUAAUUAUUAUUUGGGUUUUCUUAUUUAUUCA